UACGUAGGGUGCGAGCGUUGUCCGGAAUUAUUGGGCGUAAAGAGCUCGUAGGCGGUCUGUCGCGUCGGAUGUGAAAACCCAGGGCUUAACCCUGGGCCUGCAUUCGAUACGGGCAGACUAGAGUUCGGUAGGGGAGACUGGAAUUCCUGGUGUAGCGGUGAAAUGCGCAGAUAUCAGGAGGAACACCGGUGGCGAAGACGGGUCUCUAGGCCGACACUGACGCUGAGGAGCGAAAGCGUGGGGAUCGAACAGG
rnacentral:rRNA from 1 species